rnacentral:rRNA from 1 species
GUUUGAUCCUGGCUCAGAUUGAACGCUGGCGGCAGGCCUAACACAUGCAAGUCGAGCGGUAACAGGGGAAGCUUGCUUCUCGCUGACGAGCGGCGGACGGGUGAGUAAUGUAUGGGGAUCUGCCCGAUAGAGGGGGAUAACUACUGGAAACGGUAGCUAAUACCGCAUAAUCUCUUUGGAGCAAAGCAGGGGAACUUCGGUCCUUGCGCUAUCGGAUGAACCCAUAUGGGAUUAGCUAGUAGGUGAGGUAAUGGCUCACCUAGGCGACGAUCCCUAGCUGGUCUGAGAGGAUGAUCAGCCACACUGGGACUGAGACACGGCCCAGACUCCUACGGGAGGCAGCAGUGGGGAAUAUUGCACAAUGGGCGCAAGCCUGAUGCAGCCAUGCCGCGUGUAUGAAGAAGGCCCUAGGGUUGUAAAGUACUUUCAGUCGGGAGGAAGGCGUUGAUGCUAAUAUCAUCAACGAUUGACGUUACCGACAGAAGAAGCACCGGCUAACUCCGUGCCAGCAGC